rnacentral:lncRNA from 1 species
AAAGCUAUCUGAAAAGAAUGCCUAAGAAGUAUUUGGUAUAAUGGAUUCUUUAAACCAUUAUAUCACAACUAAACGCGGGAAAAUUUGAUAUAACUAAUAAUAGGGUAGUCAGGUAUAUUAUAAAAAAUAAUGGUAUAUAAAGUAAUAAGUACUUAUUUUUACGUUUUGUAUUCUGAAUGGCUUGGUGGUGUAGUGGUAAGGCGUCCGUUUGUUUUUUGUAACAGUUUCUGUUAUGGACAGAUAUAGGUUCGAAACCAGACGACGAAGGGGUUUUUUUUAUUAUUUUGUUUUUAAUUUUAUUUAUUUAUUGCUUUUUCUUUAUCUAUCUAUUUAUUUGAUUUUAUUUAUUUAUUUAUUGUUUCAUCUUUCAUCAAAUCAUUUGCAAUAACAAUGAGCAUGAGACGUGUAGUAUUAAAGUCAACAUGGUACAUGUAUGUAAUUACAAUGUCUAACAAUAGUUACAAAAGAUCAGUACAUUCAACGGUUGUGUCUUUACAAGGAGACCAACCAUCAGUUUCAGAAUUUUUCCUCGAUUGUCUUCACAUGUUCGCAGUUUUUCAGUGAAGGUAACACAUAUAAGAAAAAGGUAAAUAACAUGAAAAACUCGUGCAAAAACAUAAGCAACAAAAUGUUAAAAAUACUUUCUCCACCUGGAUUUGAACCCGCAAUAAAAGUGUCGUAGUUGAAAAGUUCCUGUGAUCUUACCACUGUACUAGUUCCGCUCUUGCUUUUCCUUCGCAUUUUUCAGUAGUAAUAAAUGCUAUUAUUGUCACAACCCUUACCUAUUUUGCUGUGUUUGACUCUUCCGAUUAAUGUUUGUAAACAAAAUACUAUCCCGGACGGACUAUAGCAAUUUGUAAAUGAAUGUUUUCUUUUAUUAGAACGGAAACCAUUACAAUAUCACACUGUAUGUCGAUCCCUGUAAUUUCUUCACCUACGAUGAUGACCGAGAUGGUGCUAUCGUGAAAGAUGAACUACGUGCUAUCUUCGGCGACAAUGAAAAGACUGACGCUCUGUUUGAGGACCUUGAUGUUACAAAAGAUGACGAAGGGAUAAACCCGGAGGAAUUCUAUGCCAUGGCACCUAUGAUCAUAGCUGAUUGUUUGGACACUGAGAAGUAAUAGCAAACUCUUCCACAUUUCUGAAGAAGCUGCAUUCAGUAUGAAGAUGUUGUCUAAUAAACAUAACAACAACAACAAAAAUGAUUCUUGUUAGCUAAUUAUCUUCAAAAAUAUUUGUUAUGUUCACAUAUAUAACAUUCAUCAAGUAAAUACAAAUACACUGCUGAAGCAGGACAA